AGUGUGAGUGUGUGUGUGUGUGUGUGUGUGUGUGUGUGUGUGUGUGUGUGUGUGUGUGUGUGGAAAAGUGGCUGUGUGCUUUCUCUCUCCGUUUGAAGCACUCUUACACUCUGUCUUUCUCUCCUUCUCUGUUGUGUUGGAAGCAGGCAGCUGGAGAGAGUCAUAGUGUAGAAACUGGAUUUAGAAAGUGGACGAAGAAAGUCAAACCAAAGCAGAGGAAACAGCUAGAAGGUCUGGAGCUAAGCUGAUGAAGAAGGGGAUAUGGAGAGCCAACUUUACUGGGAGAAAGCGAAGACGAAGAAUGAAAAUUGACCUGCCCAGUGUCACCACCCAAUUUAAUAACCACACCCAUCUCUACUUGCGCAAUGAGUAA
ensembl:lncRNA